rnacentral:rRNA from 1 species
UGGGGAAUCUUGCACAAUGGGCGAAAGCCUGAUGCAGCGACGCCGCGUGGGGGAUGAAGCAUUUCGGUGUGUAAACCCCUUUCGAUCCGGACGAAACCCCGCAAGGGAUUGACGGUACGGAUAUAAGAAGCCCCGGCUAACUACGUGCCAGCAGCCGCGGUAAGACGUAGGGGGCCAGCGUUGUUCGGAAUUACUGGGUGUAAAGGGUUCGUAGGCGGUGCGGCAAGUUGGGAGUGAAAUCUCUGGGCUUAGCCCAGAGGCUGCUUCCAAAACUGCUGUGCUUGAGUGUGGGAGAGGCGCGUGGAAUUGCAGGUGUAGCGGUGAAAUGCGUAGAUAUCUGCAGGAACACCCGUGGCGAAAGCGGCGCGCUGGACCACUACUGACGCUGAGGAACGAAAGCUAGGGGAGCAAACAGGAUUAGAUACCCUGGUAGUCCUAGCCCUAAACGAUCAGGACUUGGGGUGCCACCCGUUCGGGUGUCGUCCCGGAGCUAACGCGUUAAGUCCUGCACCUGGGGAGUACGGUCGCAAGACUGA